AAUUAGGGAAAGGUGAAGUUUAAGCUCUAUUGCCUAGACUCUAGGAAAAAAGGAAAUGUUAAUACAAUGCGCAUAUUAAUGUAGCAGGGGACAGAAAACGUGCCGUCAAAUACUCUCGCGAAAAUUGAGAAUCUGAUUAAGAAUUCAUCUACAAAGGUCCGAUGGACAACGCUGUGCCAGUUUCCACAUCAAACUCUGGUACUGGCAAUCGCCGGUCACAGCCACGCUAUAUGUACUGUAGCUGCUUCAGGCGCUGCUGUCGCUGUUUUUGCUGCUUCUACUCCUACCCAUGAGAUGAGAUAUACCUUAAUCAGUGUUUUAAUUUAAUAUCUGCUUGUACAUAUAAAAAGUGUUGUGUGAUAUGGUCAAUUAACUGAACUGAAAACAAUUUUAGUUUGUAUUAAAGUUUUCAUCUUUUUGUUGAAUCGAACAUCAGUUGAUAAUCUUAUUAUACCUUUUAUUAGCUGACAACUGAAAGGAAGUUGGAUUGGUAGGUAUAGAAUUAGGAAACAAUUGAUGAUCUUUCUGUGUUUUACUCAUGUAUGGAUGCUGAAAAUGGAAUUUAGGUUCUGGUGACUACUUGAGUUAUAUAGCAUUUUGGUUGUGAAAUCUCCAUACUCAAUAAAAGUAUGCAUAAAAAGAAUUUCUUUAACUGCUGGGAUGUUCGGCUUUUUGUAAAUAUACUUAUGUCGUUGAUAUAUACACACUCAAAAUCAGUAUAUAUGCUAUGAUAUAAGCUUCAAUGUCCUGUCUAAAUUCAAAAUCUUUGUGUUGAAUUAGACAAGUGAUCCAAUUGUUUUUGGUUCAAUAAGGAGACAAAUGGUCGGAGACAAAUGGUCGGUAUAUAGUUUCUUCAAUUAGGAAUCAAGCUAUGACUGAUCUGUAACUGCUUUUUAUAUGUGAAAAAUUUCUUGUCCGCAUUAGUGACGGGCAAGUGGAGAGUAUCAUUAAAGAGAAUCAAAAUCAAGUGUCAAUAGUUAUGUCAAGGUUCAGAGCAGUUAUCUUAAGUAGUUUGGAGACAAGCAUAAAGCCAAAGAUUUGUGUUUAAGAAAGAAGAUGGAUGGCAUGCACGUAUGCAUGACCAUCGCUUAGCUGCUGAGGUCAAAUACUUGAUUUGUGCAGCAGGCACUAUGGCUGUUGCAGCAAAAUGCAUAAAAGUCCACGAGACAGCAAGGAUAUUUGUGAACUCUGCUGGCAAGAUCUUCCGUAUAAAUUAGCUGAAAGUUCAAAUUUCAACCUAGCUCCCUGUUUGAUUUUGUUUCUCCCUCGUCUAUAUGUGACUGUUGUACUCUUGUAGUGUAAAUGCUGCCAGAAUUCAGAGUUAUCCAUCGUUUCAUCGCAGGGUUCAUAUGCAAGGUAGAUUAUUCUCCUCGCACUGAAGUAGUUUAAUAUGCAAGGUAAAUCCACAGCUGUAUGUUUAGGGAUGAAGGUGUGACAGGAAGCAUAUUAUUGCAUUCAUUCAAGUAUGACUCAUUUACGAAUGCUUUGAUCUCUUAUCUAAGUUGCCUCACAUUAUUGCAGUUUGACCUCUUUUGGGCUUUUGCCAUGCCAGUUAUGAACUGUGUCUGCAUUUACUUGCUUAGAGUAAGUGGUCCUCUCCAGUUCAAUCCUAGCUGGUUGCUAUUGAUGAGUUGCCAAAAGAAUACGAAAAUCUUUUAUUUGAUGCUUUACUAGUUACUAGUUAAUAAAUCAACUAUAUAUUUGCUUUCUAUCUAUUUUUUCGUUCCGUGGUCCUCGGAGGUGCCAUAAAAGAGAGUGAUUAUCCACGAUGAUUGUUCCUUAUAUUUAUUCUCUGUCCCCUUAUCCGCUGACUUCACUGCUACUUUCAACUCACUGUUUGAUUAUCUUUUUGUC